ACGGAGGAUGCGAGCGUUAUCCGGAUUUAUUGGGUUUAAAGGGUGCGUAGGCGGCCCUAUAAGUCAGCGGUGAAAUGUUCCGGCUCAACCGGGAAACUGCCGUUGAAACUGUAGAGCUAGAGUCCACAAGAGGUAUGCGGAAUGCGUGGUGUAGCGGUGAAAUGCAUAGAUAUCACGCAGAACCCCGAUUGCGAAGGCAGCAUACUGGGGUGAAACAGACGCUGAAGCACGAAAGCGUGGGUAUCGAACAG
rnacentral:rRNA from 2 species